UGCCGCCCUGAAGGGCGUAUGGUGGAUGCCUUGGCAGACAGUACCGAUGAAGGACGUUUGAGGAUGCGAUAAGCCUCGGGGAGCCUCCAACAUGGCUUCGAUCCGAGGAUUUCCGAAUGGGGCAACCCGCCGGCCGUCAUGGGCCGGCACGGAACCUUGUUGUUCCGGGGGUACGCAGGGAAGUGAAACAUCUCAGUACCUGCAGGAAGGGAUACUCCGUGAGUAGUGGCGAGCGAAAGCGGAUCAGACCAAACCAUGGGCGCGUGAUACCCGUCGGGGGUUGCGUUCGUGGUGUUGAGGGAGCGUGUGUCCCGGUUCCGACGGACCGGGCGGGAGUCAUAAAACGGCUUGCCAGGGGAACAGGCUUGAAGGCCUGGCCGCAGAGGGUGCCAGCCCCGUACCUGGAAGCUUGCCGUCUUCCGAUCAUGUGUCCCAAGUAGCGCGGGCCUCGUGGAAUCCCGUGUGAAUCGGCCCCGACCGUGGGGUAAGUCUAAGCAUACCUGUCUGACCGAUAGCGUACCAGUACCGUGAGGGAAAGGUGAAAAGCACCCCGGGAGGGGAGUGAAAGAGUUCCUGAAACCGUGCGCCUACAAUCCGUCGGAGCCUCCUUGUGGGGUGACGGCGUGCCUAUCGAAAAAUGAGUCUGCGAGUCAGUGGUGCGUGGCGAGGCUAACCCGUGGUGGGGGAGCCGUAGCGAAGGCGAGUCUCAAAAGGCGUUUUGAGUCGCGCGCCCUGGACCCGAAGCGGGAUGAUCUAGCCCUGGGCAGGUUGAAGCGCGGGUAAGACCGCGUGGAGGACCGAACCCACCUGGGUUGAAAACCGGGGGGAUGACCUGGGGCUAGGGGUGAAAGGCCAAUCAAAUUCCGUGAUAGCUGGUUCUCUCCGAAAUGCAUUUAGGUGCAGCGUCGGUUGAUUGCAUCGCGGGGGUAGAGCUACUGGAUGCUUGCGGGCCCGUGUCGGGUACCAAUAGCAGCCAAACUCCGAAUACCGUGGAUGUGUAUUCCGGCAGUGAGUCGGCGGGGGAUAAGCUCCGUCGUCGAGAGGGAGACAGCCCAGAUCGUCGUCUAAGGUCCCGAAGCGUGUGCUAAGUGGGAAAGGAUGUGGAGUCGCAUAGACAGCCAGGAGGUUGGCUCAGAAGCAGCCAUCCUUGAAAGAGUGCGUAACAGCUCACUGGUCUAGUGGUUCCGCGCCGACAAUGUAGCGGGGCUCAAGCACACCACCGAAGACGCGGCAGCGGCCUUUGCGGCCGUUGGGUAGGAGAGCGUCCCGCGUGGGGCGAAGCGGCCGGGGAACCGUGCCGUGGACCGCGCGGGAGUGAGAAUGCAGACAUGAGUAGCGAGAGACGGGUGAGGAUCCCGUCCGCUGGAUGACCAAGGGUUCCGGGGCCACGUUCGUCGUCCCCGGGUGAGUCGGGUCCUAAGGCGAGGCCGACAGGCGUAGUCGAAUGGAUGAACGGGUGGAUAUUCCCGUACCGGCGGCGUACCGUAAGAGCCGAACGGAUGAGUACUAACCUCCGGUCGCGUGGCGUCGUUCCCUUCGGGGUUCGGGGUCCGCGGUCGUUGGGAGCGUAGUCCUGGUAGGCUAGCGCACAGGGGUGACACGGAAUGGGAGCCGGCCGCGGAGGUGGUUUUCCGUGGUCAAGCACGCAGCCCGUCCCAUAGGCAAAUCCGUGGGACGCAUAGGGUGAGGUGUGAUGAUGGGCGUCCUUUGGACGCGAUAUCCGGUGGUCCAGGCCGUCGAGAAAAGCCUCGGCGCGAGGGGCGUCGCCGCCCGUACCCCAAACCGACACUGGUGGUCAGGUAGAGAAUACCAAGGCGAUCGAGCGAAUCCUGGUCAAGGAACUCGGCAAAUCACUCCCGUGCCUUCGGUAUAAGGGAGACCCCCGGGCGUGAAGAGGCUUGCCCUCGGAGCGUUGGGGGGUGGCACAGACCAGGGGGUAGCGACUGUUUACCAAAAACACAGGUGCAUGCGAAGGCGCAAGCCGCUGUAUAUGCACUGACGCCUGCCCGGUGCCGGAAGGUUAAGAGGAUCCGUCAGCCCCUUUUGGGGUGAAGCGGUGAAUUCAAGCCCCGGUAAACGGCGGUGGUAACUAUAACCAUCCUAAGGUAGCGAAAUUCCUUGUCGGGUAAGUUCCGACCUGCACGAAUGGCGUA
rnacentral:rRNA from 1 species